CAUCAGGCUCCUCGAGUCGCCUUUCAAAUUGGGACAGAGAAUCAGUACUGUACCUUUCAAGAAAUGAAAGAGAAGCAUGAAGUGUAUAAAAUACUCGGUGGAUUUUUUACCAUUCAGUGAUCAUAUAUUUGUUGAUUUGAUCCUAACCCGAAUCAGAAAGUUGCUAAACGCAAGUUAGUGGCCUCGAGAAUUCUACUGGAACAAAGAAAAAAUGGCCUUUGAAUUGCUACUAGGUUCAACUUCUUAAAUUAAUAUAGGGGCGAUGUGGUACACUAACAUUACGAAUGCAAGAAGAGACUCAUGUGAAAGUCGUGUUAACAAGGUCCGCAUCAUUUGUCUCUGCUACAGAGUAGACCAAUCAAAUUCCUUCUAACAGUGGUGGCAGUGGAACGCAAUGCAAAAGAAAAGUAACUAAAAGUUAAGCCUCUUAUCCUAUUACAACAUUUUCCUCUUGGUCUUUAAAGAUUAUCUUUGCAUAAUGUGCUGGCAUUUGUUUCGUUAUUCUAUUAAAAUUUUGUCCAAAAUGUGGUGCUUUUUUUUGUCUCAAGGAUAUUUAAAUGCACAAAGUUAUACUCGAGGAAGAUGCACGUCUUAAAGAUUUAUCUUUGCAUAUGUUCUGGCAUCUAUUUUGUUAUUUUAUUAAAUUUUAUCCAAAACGUGGGGCUUUUUUUAACUAUAUCUUUGCACCGUCUCAGGGACAUUCAGAUGCACAAAGUUGUAUUUGAGGAAGAUGCACCUUGUGAUGGAACUGCUUUACUUUUUACGUUUCGCAAUCAAGUUAAUAUACAAUAUUAUUAGAUUCUUCUAUUUUUUGACUUGUUUUUCGCAUGUGUAUUGUGAACAUUAUGGAAUUUUAUUUAUUAUAUUUCUAUAUUCAUAUCAUUUAUCUUACAUUUUAGACGUGCAAGAUCAACUUUUUCACUUACAAUCUUCCUUUCUAUAAUUUCUUCAAUCAUCAGCUCUUUUUGGAAAUUCUUUUUUUUCUUAGCAUGUCUGUGUUGUUAUUGGAAAACAGUUCGGGAAAAAGUUUGUGCAGAGGCAACAACAAAUAUUAGUCGCCAUGCUGUCAAUUGGAAGUUUAUUCAUUGCAGUUUUAUUUUGCAGAUUCUUUACAUGUUUUUCUUUUCCAUGAAUAUGGUUGCUAUCACCGAAUUCUAAUCCUUAGCCAUACAUUUUCUUAUAUUCUUGAAUGGCUUGAUAAGAAAAGUGAGGUAAUGAUGUUGUUGACAAACUUAAGUCUCAACUCUACGUCUUUCCUACUUAUAUACAAGUCCAGUAAUUAUGUAUUGUGGACAACUUUUCGAGAUACUACAAAUAACUUUGUAAGGAUUAAUAACUAUUUUUUAUUUAGUUAUCGUGUGUAACUUUUUCCUUUCAAGACUUUUUUUGUAUAAAACUGCUUUUGCUUUAAUAAUUUUUGUCUGUCCCGUUUAUAUCGAGUUAUUUUCUUUGUUCAGCUACAGAAACGCAGAAAACAUAAAAAUUAAAGUCAUCCUUCUCAUUGUAGGCUUAGAGGCUGAUUUUGAAGUUUAUUUUGGACAUAAGGUUGAGCAACACAAUCUUGAGGGAACAAAUCCUCAACAAAUGGUUAUCACUAUGCCAAAUAGUACAACAUUAGAAGUGAAGAGCAAGGUUGAUGUUGGACGUUACACGGCGUCGGCUCAGCCAACCGGUGCCGAUGAUAUCCAUACACUUUUAACUGGAGAUCUGGAGUUUUGGAUGGAUGAAUAAUAUCUCUAUAGCUGCUUUGUAAAUAUUGGAGAUGUACUAAAGUUUCUGAAAAAAAUUGUUGUUGCUGAGUGUUUUAAUAUGUAAAACUGUAUCUUAGGGAGAAGAAUAGAUCUAUUAAAUUGCUAUGAGA